UACGUAGGUGGCAAGCGUUGUCCGGAUUUACUGGGCGUAAAGAGCGCGUAGGCGGCCACCGCAAGUCGAUUGUGAAAUCUCCGGGCUUAACCCGGAAAGGUCAACCGAUACUGCGGGGCUAGAGUGCAGAAGGGGCAACUGGAAUUCUCGGUGUAGCGGUGAAAUGCGUAGAUAUCGAGAGGAACACCUGCGGCGAAGGCGGGUUGCUGGGCUGACACUGACGCUGAAGUGCGAAAGCUAGGGGAGCGAACGGG
rnacentral:rRNA from 1 species